rnacentral:rRNA from 1 species
CCUACGGGGGGCAGCAGUGAGGAAUAUUGGUCAAUGGGCUUACGCCUGAACCAGCCAAGUCGCGUGAGGGAAGACUGCCCUAUGGGUUGUAAACCUCUUUUGUCAGGGAGCAACGCCGGCUACGUGUAGCCGGACUGAGAGUACCUGAAGAAAAAGCAUCGGCUAACUCCGUGCCAGCAGCCGCGGUAAUACGGAGGAUGCGAGCGUUAUCCGGAUUUAUUGGGUUUAAAGGGUGCGUAGGCGGAAUGCCAAGUCAGCGGUAAAAUCGCGGGGCUCAACCUCGCUCCGCCGUUGAAACUGUACGGCUGGAGUGCAGGAGAGGUAAGUGGAAGUCCUAGUGUAGCGGUGAAAUGCGUAGAUAUUAGGAGGAACACCAGUGGCGAAGGCGGCUUACUGGACUGUAACUGACGUUGAGGCUCGAAAGCGUGGGGAGCAAACAGGAUUAGAUACCCUAGUAGUC